GUCAAGUUACGCUGACACUAGUGGAUUUAUGCUGGCAAACUGAACAUCCAUCACUCCUGUUCUCAGGAAUAUAUCCUAUUGUAAGCCCUCAGGACCAGCCUUGGCCAAAGGACAACUGCAUACUUUUUGUGGUUUCCAGACCUAAUGCAAUUCCUUCUUCUCCACACCUCCAAUAUCACUAUUUCUUUCCCAUCAAGCUGUACAUGAAGAAUCAGCUGUCACUUUCAAGUGAGUAUAACUUGGUUUUAUUUAGUAACGGACCUACCACCUUUCCACAACUAUGAUAACAGUAAUUAUCUAGUCUUCCUUUCUAUAACAGAAAUUCCAUAACCACUG
rnacentral:lncRNA from 1 species